CGCACACGGAGCACUGAAGACGACCAAGCAGUGGAUGUGAGCACGGUGAGGUGGUGGGCAGUGGCAAUAGCAACAGUAGGUCACCUCUGCGGGUGCAGAUUGUUACAAGCACGGUAUGCAGGCUCUUCUUCAUCACUGGUGAAAAGGCAUAGCUCAUGGUGGGGACAGUUUUGUAGCUGAGAAUGGGAAGAGGUUUCAAGAGGGAUUACAGCUCGACUAUGUGGAACCAUUUUCAAAGUGAGUUAAAGCAGGAUCUCUUUCCAAAAGUCGGGCAGCCUGUAUCUGGAUGGCAUAGAUGUUGGCAUUAAGGGGCUGCAUGGCCCUGGGCAGCUGGGAGCAAGUCUGAGCCUUGCUGCCACUGGGCGCACGCACUCACACAAACAGGUGUGCACAUGUGCAUGCGUGCAGACACGCACACGCACGCACGCACGACUGCCCUAGUGACAGAAGAUACAGAGAAGACAGUGUUACUGAGUGCUUUCUCUGUCUCUGUCUAUACUGCUGGAGGCUGUCCUGAGGAGCCCUGUACCCCUGAGGCCCCAGAGGAAGUCGGGAUCAAGGAGGAGUUUGCCUCAGUUGUUGAGGACUGGGUUAAGGAGCAAUUAAGCAACCUAGACAUCCAUGGUCCUGAUGUGAUGCACCUGUGGGUGCUGAGGGAGCUGGCAGAAGUCAUUGCUAGGCCACUCUCCGACAUCUUUGGUAAGUUGCGGGGAACAAGAUACUAUAGACUGAUCAGCCUCACCUCCAUCCCUGGAAAGGUGAUGGAAAAACUUAUCCUUGGCACUGCCUCUAGGCAUAUCAAGGAUAAGAGGGUCAUUAGGGGCAGUCAGCAUGGCUGCACCAAGGGGAAGUCAUGCUUGACCAACUUGAUAGCUUUUUAUGAAGAGGUAACCAGGUGGAUAGAUGAUGGUAAGGCAGUGGAUGUGGUCUAUCUUGAUUUUAGUAGAGCAUUUGACACCGUCUCCCACGGCAUCCCCGCAGCUAAACUGAGGAAGUGUGGUCUGGAUGAUUGAGCAGUGAGGUGGCCUGUGA
ensembl:lncRNA